GAUGAACGCUGGCGGCGUGCCUAAUACAUGCAAGUAGAACGCUGAAGGAGGAGCUUGCUCUUUCCGGAUGAGUUGCGAACGGGUGAGUAACGCGUAGGUAACCUGCCUGGUAGCGGGGGAUAACUAUUGGAAACGAUAGCUAAUACCGCAUAACAGUAGAUAUUGCAUGAUAUUUGCUUGAAAGGGGCAAUUGCUCCACUACCAGAUGGACCUGCGUUGUAUUAGCUAGUUGGUGAGGUAACGGCUCACCAAGGCGACGAUACAUAGCCGACCUGAGAGGGUGAUCGGCCACACUGGGACUGAGACACGGCCCAGACUCCUACGGGAGGCAGCAGGAGGGAAUCUUCGGCAAUGGACGGAAGUCUGUCCGAGCAACGCCGCGUGAGUGAAGAAGGUUUUCGGAUCGUAAAGCUCGGUUGUAAGAGAAGAACGAGUGUGAGAGUGGAAAGUUCACACUGUGACGGUAUCUUACCAGAAAGGGACGGCUAACUACGUG
rnacentral:rRNA from 1 species